rnacentral:lncRNA from 1 species
CCAACUAUAAUUAAGCACUGCUACUUCCACCUUGAUUUCCAUGAGCCCAGUAAGGUUUAGCAGGGGUGCGUCGUAAUGCCCUCACUCCCAAUGGGUUGUCCUUGCUCUGUUGCAGAAAAUUCAAGAAAGCACAUAAGAAAAAUAAAAAAAUAAUCAAAAAGAGAAAACCAGGACUGCUAAAUUUAAACUUGAAAGCUCAAAAGAAAAACAUCAAACGAUUUCUUAAUAGAAUCAUGCAAUGCAACCAAAUAGCUUGAAUUUAAAACAUGAAUAUCGAAAUAUUUGCCCAUUGGUCUUUGGCACACUGCUGCAAAGCCUAGAGCAGCCAAGCGUACCAACAAAAUUUAGCAUAUCUUACCAUCAAGCAGGUCCCAGCACGAACAUUACAGAUGGGAUAGUCAUGUGGGCAGCAGCUAUAGUGGUCAUCACAGCAGGUGGCAGCCUCAAGCGGGCAGCAUCCCCAUGCAAAGCAAGAGUUACCAUACUCAAAGACACAGCAGCAAGUGUUGCUCUCAGGGCAAGAGUAAUAAUUGUCACACACAGCAGGAGGCUUUGUUGGAGAUGGAGGGGACGGUCCAGGGUUGGGAGGAUUUUGGCCUUUCUUUAUGGGAUAUGAGGCCUCCAUGGCAAUUCCACACUUGCCCGUGAGAGUGCCAGCCACGUUACGCUCCAUCCUAAUAUAGCCAGCCUCUCCCCAGCUACUGCCCCAUGAAUUCUUCACAAUCCAGUAAUCAGCUCCAUUUUCUGUGCCAUAUCCAACAGCAGUAACACCAUGGUCCAGAGAUGUCCCACAUCUUCCCGUAAAUAUACCCUGAAAAUUUGCAAAGACAGAAAAAUAUACUUGAGACUUCCUUAAAACAGAUCAGACACACACAAGACUCUUCCUGAUCCUGUUUAGAAACCAUUAGAAAUACAAUAAUUUUUGUUCAAAUACCAUCCAGUAUUGUCUCAACCAUAUCUUUUCAGAACUGCAAAAUGCAAAUACUUUGUAUCUAGAUAAUAGCAACAUUCCUAAAUCUAAAAUGUGACAAGUGCCAUGAAGAGAUGAAAGUUAC